rnacentral:rRNA from 1 species
GACGAACGCUGGCGGCGUGCCUAACACAUGCAAGUCGAGCGAUGAAACCCUUCGGGGUGGAUUAGCGGCGGACGGGUGAGUAACACGUGGGUAACCUGCCUCAAAGAGGGGGAUAGCCUCCCGAAAGGGAGAUUAAUACCGCAUAACAUUAGUUUUUCGCAUGAAGAAUUAAUUAAAGGAGUAAUCCGCUUUGAGAUGGACCCGCGGCGCAUUAGCUAGUUGGUGAGGUAAAGGCUCACCAAGGCGACGAUGCGUAGCCGACCUGAGAGGGUGAUCGGCCACAUUGGAACUGAGACACGGUCCAGACUCCUACGGGAGGCAGCAGUGGGGAAUAUUGCACAAUGGGCGAAAGCCUGAUGCAGCAACGCCGCGUGAGUGAUGAAGGCCUUCGGGUUGUAAAGCUCUGUCUUUUGGGACGAUAAUGACGGUACCAAAGGAGGAAGCCACGGCUAACUACGUGCCAGCAGCCGCCGUAACAC